rnacentral:rRNA from 1 species
AUCAGCAGCCAUAUCACCCUGUAGCCCAAGACUGGUCUCCCACUGAAGCUAAGCAGGAUUGCGCCUGGUUAGUACCUGGAUGGGAGACCCCUGAAGAAAACCAGGUGCUGCUGGAA